AAGGCAGGACACUGACUGCAGACCUGGGGACAUGAGCUUUUGUAGCUCUGUAAGAUGAUCCAUUAAAAAAUUAAAAAUUGGACUUUAUAAAAAUUUAAGACUUUUGUUCUGAGAAAGAUACUAUUAAGAGAAUGAAAAGACAAGUUACGUGCUGAAAGAAAAUAUCUGCAAAAACUCAUUUAAAAAUAGCUGAAGUACUGAACAGAUACUUCACCAAAGAAGACAUUUGAUGGCAAAUAAGCAUAU
rnacentral:lncRNA from 1 species